ACUCCCUGACCAACUUGACGAUUCGGUGCAUAGCCGGUUCGGGUGGAAAUUUGUUAGCAUUCAUCACGUGUUCGGUUUGUGAAAAGGAUGUUAAAGUUGUGAGAUAUUCGUCUCGUUCAUGAUCGGUGUCGAAUUUCGCUCAACACAUAAACACACACGAAAAGAGGUUACGGAAUUUGCAGAGCAGAGAACACGAUUUCUCGUCAAUAACUGAAAAUGUGUUAUGUGAACUACCUGAGAUUGGCGAAAAGAUAUGUCAGCAGCAACAGGAACAAACAGCAUGUUUGCCGGUCAAUUUUGCUUCAGAUCGCAAUGGCCAAAACUGCAUGGAAAUCGAGCAACUGUCUUCAGAAUCAAUGGAUUAUGAUGUGCUUUCGGGUUCAGAAUUAGAAGAAACGUCUGUUCAAGACUUCGACCAGGAAAACUGAGGAAAUGGGACGAUAAGGCCGAUCGUUCCAUUUCAUUUCGAAUGGCCAAUCAACCUCUGUUAAGCGAGUAUAAUGUUGUUCAUAUCAGCAACAAGAAUAGAAAA